GUUGAAUAAUUGAAUGUCUUGUCUUCGUUUUAAAGUUUGAAUGGUGGCUCUAUGUCAAUGUAUGUGGAAGUAGUAAGAGUUUAAAAAUGAGUAAGUUGAAUGAGAAUUUGAAGGGUCUCCCCAUUGAAAUACAUUAUAAAUUUUUGUUGAAUAAAGUUGAAUAAAAUUAAAAAUAUAAAUGUUAAAAAUGAGAAAAAUAGAAGCAGUCAUGUCCAAAAGAAUAGGAAUCUAACGGUGUUUGAAUGGUUUUUCUAAGUUGAACGGUUUUGAAGGAGUUAGAUGCCAAAAAACGUACGGAAUAUGGAAUAAUAGAUAACUAGAAAGUGCAUUUUCUGAAGAAACUGCAGUGUGAAUGCUUGAAUCUGAAUGUAUGCACUGAAAUGAAUUAAUUGCUGAAUUUUGAGUUAAAAAUUUUGAAUGAGAUAAAAAAAAAUCCGAAUUUAACGUGAAAACAAAAGUGCUGAACUGCUAAAAGCUGAAGGUUACACAGAAGAAGGAGUUGGAAAAAAGCUGAAAAUGUUUUAAAUGUAAAUUAGAAAACCCUAAGAAAUGAGAAAAGAACAUUUAGAGUCAGAAAACAUCUGAAUGAAUAUUAAAAGGUCAUAUUCUUUGAAUCACUGAAUGACUCAAAUGUGAUCCCUCCACUUUGAUCCACACAGUUUAAAAAGUUUAAAUGCCUGAGCUUUGAAAGACACGGUGUUGGAAAGAGAACAAUAAUGGCGACAAUUUGAGGGUAAAAUGAUGGCUGUAACACUGUGGACACAGCAGCAGUUGAAAGAGAAGUGCUUAAGAUGAAUCUUGGUACAGUGGCAGGCAGAGCUCGUUAAGCAGGCAGGUGUGAGCCUGGUUGCUAUAGUGACCGCACCCAAUGGCUCCAUACACACGGACACAGACAUGCGCCUCACUUUUGCUGCUUAAAAUGAACAGAAAAGUCAGGCCCAAACAAAUCGUUCCCAAAUGAAAAGUAUAGGUCGUAUUGACAAAAUUCUUUCACCGUGAGUGACAGCAAUGUCUAGUCUACUGAAUUCUCAGUUUUCAUGCCUGUGGAGUUUAUUAUAUGGACGUGGUGACAGUGGAAAGACACCAUGCUCUUCUGAUUUUCAAACGAACCUUCUGAGCCAUUUUAACAUUAGAGUCUAUGGAAGAGUUGGAGGGAGGAGGCUGUGCAUUGGUGACAUUUACGAAAGAACCAUAACACCUAGGACAAUAGUAAACACAUUGGAUGAAAGAGGACAGCGAUGGCUACGUUUUGAGGGUAAAAUCAUACCUGUAGAGCAAACGCUGCGGACACAGCAGCAGUUUUAAAAAAGAUUUUAAGAUUAAUUUUUUUGCUCCUCUCACUCUAGCAGUUGAGCUGCCUCACUCUAGCCCCAACAUUCCGUCCCAUACACACCCAUUAUAAACUCUGAAACGGGUGAAAAAACAUCAUGAAACUUAAACUGGA
ensembl:lncRNA